AGAGUUUGAUCAUGGCUCAGAUUGAACGCUGGCGGCAUGCCUUACACAUGCAAGUCGAACGGCAGCGCGGGGCAGCCUGGCGGCGAGUGGCGAACGGGUGAGUAAUAUAUCGGAACGUACCCUGGAGUGGGGGAUAACGUAGCGAAAGUUACGCUAAUACCGCAUACGAUCUAAGGAUGAAAGUGGGGGAUCGCAAGACCUCAUGCUCCUGGAGCGGCCGAUAUCUGAUUAGCUAGUUGGUGGGGUAAAGGCCCACCAAGGCAUCGAUCAGUAGCUGGUCUGAGAGGACGGCCAGCCACACUGGAACUGAGACACGGUCCAGACUCCUACGGGAGGCAGCAGUGGGGAAUUUUGGACAAUGGGCGCAAGCCUGAUCCAGCAAUGCCGCGUGAGUGAAGAAGGCCUUCGGGUUGUAAAGCUCUUUUGUCAGGGAAGAAACGGCCGUUUCUAAUACAGAUGGCUAAUGACGGUACCUGAAGAAUAAGCACCGGCUAACUACGUGCCAGCAGCCGCGGUAAUACGUAGGGUGCAAGCGUUAAUCGGAAUUACUGGGCGUAAAGCGUGCGCAGGCGGUUUUGUAAGUCUGUCGUGAAAUCCCCGGGCUCAACCUGGGAAUGGCGAUGGAGACUGCAAGGCUAGAGUUUGGCAGAGGGGGGUAGAAUUCCACGUGUAGCAGUGAAAUGCGUAGAUAUGUGGAGGAACGCCGAUGGCGAAGGCAGCCCCCUGGGUCAAAACUGACGCUCAUGCACGAAAGCGUGGGGAGCAAACAGGAUUAGAUACCCUGGUAGUCCACGCCCUAAACGAUGUCUACUAGUUGUCGGGUCUUAAUUGACUUGGUAACGCAGCUAACGCGUGAAGUAGACCGCCUGGGGAGUACGGUCGCAAGAUUAAAACUCAAAGGAAUUGACGGGGACCCGCACAAGCGGUGGAUGAUGUGGAUUAAUUCGAUGCAACGCGAAAAACCUUACCUACCCUUGACAUGGAAGGAAUCCCGGAGAGAUUUGGGAGUGCCCGAAAGGGAACCUUUACACAGGUGCUGCAUGGCUGUCGUCAGCUCGUGUCGUGAGAUGUUGGGUUAAGUCCCGCAACGAGCGCAACCCUUGUCAUUAGUUGCUACGAAAGAGCACUCUAAUGAGACUGCCGGUGACAAACCGGAGGAAGGUGGGGAUGACGUCAAGUCCUCAUGGCCCUUAUGGGUAGGGCUUCACACGUCAUACAAUGGUACAUACAGAGGGCCGCCAACCCGCGAGGGGGAGCUAAUCCCAGAAAGUGUAUCGUAGUCCGGAUUGUAGUCUGCAACUCGACUGCAUGAAGUUGGAAUCGCUAGUAAUCGCGGAUCAGCAUGUCGCGGUGAAUACGUUCCCGGGUCUUGUACACACCGCCCUCACACCAU
rnacentral:rRNA from 1 species